rnacentral:rRNA from 1 species
UACGGGGGGGGCAAGCGUUGUUCGGAAUUACUGGGCGUAAAGGGCGUGUAGGUUGCCAACUAAGUCAGACGUGAAAUCCCUCGGCUUAACCGGGGAACUGCGUCUGAUACUGGAUGGCUUGAGUUUGGGAGAGGGAUGCGGAAUUCCAGGUGUAGCGGUGAAAUGCGUAGAUAUCUGGAGGAACACCGGUGGCGAAGGCGGCAUCCUGGACCAAUACUGACACUAAAGCGCGAAAGCCAGGGGAGCAAACGGG